UACGGAGGGUGCGAGCGUUGUCCGGAAUCACUGGGCGUAAAGAGCUCGUAGGCGGUUUGUCGCGUCGACUGUGAAAACCUACAGCUUAACUGUGGGCUUGCAGUCGAUACGGGCAGACUUGAGUUCGGUAGGGGAGACUGGAAUUCCUGGUGUAGCGGUGAAAUGCGCAGAUAUCAGGAGGAACACCAGUGGCGAAGGCGGCUCACUGGCCCGGUACUGACGCUGAGGUGCGAAAGCGUGGGGAGCAAACAGG
rnacentral:rRNA from 1 species